GGGAGAUGCUGGGAAACAAAGCCACUGCCUGACAAACACACAUCAAAGCCUCGGUUUGGUGGCAUCAUGACUGCUGAGGGGACAGACACAAGACGUCUACAAGGGAGGGAAGGACAGAUGGAGCUUGGGUCUUGGUCUUCUAAGAACUUCAGGUGACCACUGGGACUAAAGGUGGAGCCAAGCCUUUUCAGCCUUCCCCACUGACCCCAAGCACUGUGUGCUCCACACAAAGCCAUGCGCAGCCAGUGGAAUGUGGACAAUUCCUCGAUGUUCUGGCAUGGACAUGAUCUCCUUCGUGGUCUGUCUCAAAUGCAUCCUCAUUAAUAAGUGGAUCUCUCUUGUCUCCAUAACCAACUUCUAUCACUCAUUCUGGAAGUUUCCUACAAGUGACAUAUGCUUUCUUUUGGUUAUUUGUCAUCUUCAAAUUUUUCUGUUGCUUCUUGCCUGACUUUUCAAGUAAGG
rnacentral:lncRNA from 1 species